AUUCUGAAAUACGUGGGGGCGAGGCGAGGUCCCACGGGGUCGUGCGCGUUCAGAGAUCGUCGAUCGCCGGUCUCGGCGGUGGAGUAUAAACAAUGCAAGGAGAUCAAAAUGGAUUCCGCCUUGUGCCUUUGAAUUACUUAUGAUCAAGCAGAGAACGAUGUCACGGUCUCAAUUUUAUUUUCAGGUGCAGCACCCGCACCAGCUGCCUUGACCCUGAGGCAUCGAUGUACGUCAUUAUGCGGAUCGGAUACUAAUGAAGAGAAUGAGGAAACAAAGGCAUAUAAGAAACUCUUUGUAUGGAAGUUUCUUGAUUCGUGAGGUUUUGAGAGAGUCACUGGUCUUUGUCGUUCUGCAUCUGGAGGGGUAGAGGGGGUGCUGUCAUAAGUCAUAUCUUGGGAAGGCAAGUGUGUGUGUGCUUUUUAAAAAAGAUGAUGAAACUACUACACAUUAGAUUGUUGAUAUGCAAAGUCAAGAUCUGUUGUAUCUGUCAAGAGAAAUUGGUCUAGCUCGGAUAAUCUUGCUAGUUGAGGAUUAUAUGGUUGGAAGCACAAAGGGAUAUGUCAAUGGAACCAUCUAAAGAGGUGUGGAGAAGCCUAUUGGAGGAUCUGCCAAGGAGUUGUGUGCUGAGAAGAAGGAAGGUUUCAAGGGUGUUUGAGUCGCUUUGGGUGUGGGAGAAAGCAAUACACCAAAGAUAAUGGUGAUGGCAGAAGCCUGAGAGAAAAGACAAUGUGCCUGAGAAAAGUCUGGCGAUCUACAAAGGAUAAUAUGGGCCUGAUGUAGUCUUGAAGUAUAUAAGAGGGCCCUUAGAUGAGGCUUUGAGAAAAUGGGCUUUACUCGGGCCCCAAUUAGCGACACGCUAAAUGGGCCAUACAAGGACCUACAUUUUCUUCAUUGACCCUUUAACAGGCCAUUAUAUGGGCCUCGUUGGGCCCGACACCUACUGUUUUGGGCAUUUAUUAGGCCCUACGAGGGUCAUCAACUAAUAGCAUACAGUAUUUGAGCCGUUGGUGGGCCUCCUUUUAAUUGCAAAAUAGUUAUCAAUUAUUCGUAUUGGGUCUUAGAAUAAGCCUUGUAUGAACCCGAACUGGGUUAUGAUGUACCCAAUGAGAUUAAACCAAUUUACA